AACGAAUGCUGGCGGCAGGCCUUACACAUGCAAGUCGAACGUGAAAGUCCUUCGGGAUGAGUAAAGUGGCGCACGGGUGAGUAACGCGUGGGAACAUGCCCUUCAGUACGGGAUAACAGCGGGAAACUGCCGCUAAUACCGUACAUUCCCUACGGGGGAAAGAUUUAUCGCUGAAGGAUUGGCCCGCGUUAGAUUAGCUAGUUGGUGAGGUAAUGGCUCACCAAGGCUACGAUCUAUAGCCGGUCUGAGAGGACGAUCGGCCACACUGGAACUGAGACACGGUCCAGACUCCUACGGGAGGCAGCAGUGGGGAAUAUUGGACAAUGGGCGAAAGCCUGAUCCAGCCAUGCCGCGUGAGUGAUGAAGGCCUUAGGGUUGUAAAGCUCUUUUGGCGGGGAAGAUAAUGACGGUACCCGCAGAAUAAGCCCCGGCUAACUUCGUGCCAGCAGCCGCCGUAA
rnacentral:rRNA from 1 species